UGGACUAUCAGUGUUUGAAAUAAAAGUUCAUAAUAAAUAUACUGCUGAUGUACACUUCCAUUUAAUGGACAGGACCUACAUGUAGUGUGUACUAAUUACAUUCCUUACUGUAUAAAUUAACCUUCACAUACACAUGUAAAGGACACCUCUGUAUAACAUGAUAAACUCAUGAUAUUGCUCAAAAUAAGGACAUUGUACUCAACGAUUUGUCCAAAGUGGAACCAGCAGCCAAAGAGGCUCAGCAAGCUGUGAAGGGAAUUAAGAAAUCCCACCUGGUUGAAGUGAGGGCUCUAAACAACCCCAUCAGUUCAUCAAGAUGGCACUGGAAAGCAUCUGCAUGCUAAUCGGAGAACCUUACACUGACUGGAAGAGUAUCAGACAGAUUAUAAUGAAGGAGAACUUUAUAUCACGCUAGUAAGGCUGUGGGCCUUUGGUGAAGUGGGCCAUUGCUCA